rnacentral:rRNA from 1 species
GACGAACGCUGGCGGCGUGCCUAAUACAUGCAAGUCGAGCGGAAGUUGGAGAGCUUGCUCUUCAACUUUAGCGGCGGACGGGUGAGUAACACGUGGGCAACCUGCCCUGCAGAUCGGGAUAACUCCGGGAAACCGGUGCUAAUACCGAAUAGUUUUCGCCACCUCCUGGUGGCGUACGGAAAGACGGUUUCGGCUGUCACUGCAGGAUGGGCCCGCGGCGCAUUAGCUAGUUGGUGGGGUAACGGCCCACCAAGGCAACGAUGCGUAGCCGACCUGAGAGGGUGAUCGGCCACACUGGGACUGAGACACGGCCCAGACUCCUACGGGAGGCAGCAGUAGGGAAUCUUCCGCAAUGGACGAAAGUCUGACGGAGCAACGCCGCGUGAGUGACGAAGGUUUUCGGAUCGUAAAACUCUAUUGUGAGGGAAGAACAAGUACCAACUAACUACUGGUACCUUGACGGUACCUCACCAGAAAGCCACGGCUAACUACGUGCCAGCCACCGCAGUAAUAC